UUGUAACCGGUAAUAUUAGUAAAAGUAUUUUUAGGUUUGGCAAAGACUUAAGGAAAAUGUUCUGAAUUAUUAAUGUAUCGUAUGUUAGCAAAGCGAUAUAGUUUAAAAUUUCCUUCCUAAUCCUAAAAAUGGAUAUCAAUAGUUUUAUAGCUACCUUAGUAACUGAACUUAGGACGUUAUUAAAAAAAAAUGUUUAUUAUGGAACAUAAGAUACAGGUAUCACUGUUUCUACGUCAUUAAUGGAAUGGGCAUCUCUACUCAUUGGCAAAGAAUACAGAGGGUGUAGGCUGACAGAAAAACCCGGCGUAAUAAAGAUACUUAAAAAAAAGUAUUUAUUUUAAAACAAAUAAAGCAAAUUAAUUAGAAGUAGCCUGUGUAGUCCCAGGUCCCAGACUAGUCCCAGGUCCUUUUAAUAAUAAUAUGUAAUAAAGCCCAUUUAAUUUCCAAUGAUGAGAAAAAGAUAAUACAGAUACAGAUUAUAUUUUUUACAUUUUAAA